ACACUUGUGUAUUUUGUCUUUGUAACUUUGUGAGUAAAUUUGUAAUUUUUAAUGAUUUCCAAAUUAAAUGAUACAAUAAGCUCUUAUAACACACCAAAGAAUACAGACAUGGAAGCCAAAGUCAAUCACCCUUUCUCUUACCCACUCCAGGAAGUGACUGCAGCAAUGUGGUGCCUGUGUCCCCCCCCACCCCGACUUUGCCCAUGCAAACAAAGAAGUGUGCAGAUACAGGUCUUCACACAACAGGAUCAUAGUAUUAAAUUUUACUCUUCUUUUUCAUUUAAUAUUAGGACAUAAAAUAAUCUUGAGACCCCAAAAAGACCCUCAGAGUUCUGUGUGUGUCUGUUUGCUUAUUGCACCACAGCAGCAGUGGUGUUAAUGGGAGGGAAAGUGCAGUUGGCCUGUGAGCCUGUGUUCAUGUGAUACUGAUCUGAAGUCCAUCGUUCCAGGCUCGCCAUCAUGGAUCCUCUGUUGGAAGCCACUGGCACCUUUGCCUUAAACCUUCUAAAAACGCUGGGUGAAGACAGUUCAAGAAAUGUGUUUCACUCACCCAUCAGCAUCUCCUUGGCCCUGGCCAUGGUCCUCAUGGGGGCAAAGGGAACCACCGCAGUCCAGAUGGCUCAGGCACUUUCCUUAAAUAAAAGCAGCAGCAGUGAUGGUGGAGAUGUGCACCAGGGCUUCCAGUCCCUUCUCACCGAAUUGAACAAGUCGGACACACAGUACUUGCUUAGAACAGCCAACAGGGUCUUUGGAGAAAAGUCUUAUGAUUUCCUCUCAUCUUUUAAAGAUUCCUGCCAGAAUUUGUACCAAGCAGAGAUGGAAGAGCUUGACUUUCUGAAUGCUACAGAGGAGUCCAGAAAACACAUAAACACCUGGGUAGCUAAAGAGACAGAAGAUAAAAUUACAAAGUUGCUGUCUCCAGGUUCAUUGGAUAAAAUCACCAAACUGGUUCUCGAGAAUGCCAUCUACUUCAAAGGAAACUGGGAUACACAGUUUGACAAAGAGCUCACCCAGGAGAGACCAUUUAAAGUCAGCAAGAAUGAGGAGAAGCCUGUGCAAAUGAUGUUUAAGGAGUCUACUUUUAAAAUGACCUAUAUACGGGAAAUAUGCACCAAGAUUCUGGUCCUUCCCUACGUCAGCAAGGAGCUGAAUAUGAUCAUCAUGCUGCCCGAUGAGCACAUUGACUUGAAAACGGAUCUGAAAUUGCCCCUCUCUGUGGGUCUGUGGUCAUGUUGGCUGCUGGGUUCAUUCAUCCGUGCCGGGGAUAUGCUGUCACCCACCCUGUUGCAGCUGGGAAGGACCCCGUGGCUUCACUGUGGGCAGAUAACUGCCAUCACCAUUGGCCCUUCUCCAGGCAUGAUGGGGAGGACCUCCACUGUUGCCCUCUGACUUCACUGCUGCUAGUCUCGUGCUCAUUCUGCACCUGGUCCCUGUGAUGCCCAAGCUGUGGUGACAGAAUGGAAUUGUUGAGCAUCAUGGAACAUAGAAAUUAGGAUUGAGCUGCAGCAGCACAAGCAUCCAAGGUCCUUCCUAAGACCCAGAUCAAGCCACGAGGCCAGGACAUUUGCACAGGAUGAUGGUGGCAGCUUCAAGAGUAGCUCAGCCAAUCCUGGGACAACUCUACUGGGCCCUCACUCCCAGGAGAGCCUCCCAGUCUGAGUCUGGGUCCUAGAUGUCCAAUCCCUGGACGAUGUUUGCCAGGACAGGCAGCAGCCACUCCUCCCAAGAUACACCCACAGGCCCAGGCCAUGACCACAGAAAUGCCUGGAAGCGGGUGAGGAGGAGGACUACUACCUGUGCCCAAAACCUCUGCUGCUGCAGACCAUGUCAGCAAUCAAGUGGCUCCAAAGACAGAGAGAAGAAAUGUGCCACAUCCAUAAACAGCGAGGCUCCAAGGAGUGCAGAGCUCAGCCAGGAGACGCCAGCACAGGGCCUGAGUCUCCUCUGCCUCCACCUGUGGAAGACGUCAGACUGUUCUGCCUGAGACACUUUGCCCUGCCCUGCUCGGCCCUUCUUCCUUUUCCCCAUUCUUCUGAGAUGUUUCUGAAUAAAUUUGUUUCAGACCAA